CUCUAAUAAGGCUUUUGAUAUCUGGAGCUCAUAGGUGGGAGAUAAAGUAUACAUACUCACAAGACAUUUAUUGUAUAGUCAAACCACGGAACCAAAGUAACAAAUCAAUAAGUCAAAUCAAGAUGUGCAUGUGUGGUGAAUGAAUGGUGUAGGGUGAUGACAAUGGUGAAAGUCUAAUUCUACUUGUGCUCUUUGAGGGGAUACAUACCUUCCUUGCUUUUUGAAACUUUGUGAGGAGAAUGAGAUGCUCUUAUUUUUCUUUCCUCUCAGGUGGGUAUUUUGUACCCCUAAUUCUACUGUCGGACACUUGUCCAUUUUUACCUCUCGUCUUACUUUUUCUUUUCUUUUGAGGUUCCGGGCACUUGCCCCUUUUUAUUUCCUCGUAUCUUCUCUCUUUCUCUUUUUUAAGAGCACUCAUCUCAUGAAAUAAUAUAGAAAGUGGUAGUAACCAAGAUAAGUUGACCAUUUAUUUCACAGGGAAAAACAGAAAUAUUUUUGGCUAUUCUCUCCCGGAUUAGGAGUAGAAUAUUUUUGGGUGGUUCUGGAGAUGGAAAUGAGUGGAUAUAUGUGGAUGCGUACUUCCGAGGUAGAAGCAACAUGUGUGAGUGAACGUGCAAGUGAAUCUUGAUUUAACCACAUGACAAGCUCCUAAGGGUCUACACAGCUUGACCACACUCAAUGCUCAUAAGUAGUAAAAAGUAAAUGUGUGGCUCCAAGUCUAGCAAGCAUGUAUAUAUGGCUGUGGUAGGAAUUUAAACUCUCAUCAUGCAGGAACUCAUCAUGCAAUAUUUUAAAGAUUUUUCAAAGAUAAAAUUCUCCAGAAUUCUAGCAUCUUUAGGAAUAGAUAAACAAGAGCUCAACCUUCCCAUAUCAUACCCGUUAACAACUUAGACUUCAGAUCAAGUUCUCUUCCCACAAGUUCAGGCUUAGAGCAAGCUUUAAAUUAUAACAGUUAUGUCUAAACUUGAGAGAAAACUUAAAUUUGAAAAUUAGGCAGAGCAACUAUUCAUCAUAUCCAUGCUAGAGUUUUAUUAUUAAGAUUCAGUUUAGCAUAGCCACUUUAUUUAUUUAUUAAGCACACUAAGCAAAAGAUAUAUAUAUAUAAGCACAAAAUUUUUAUUUGGUUUUUCAUGUUUAUGUAUAUUUAUAUUUUAAUAUAGUAUAAGUAUAAAGAUAGAUAUACUUAGCGGGAUAAAUGGGGGUGCUCUCCCCCAAGCUGAAUUUUGACGUAAUUUCUUCUGAUAUAGCUAGCAGGUGGCAGAGGUGUAUUUGAAAGUCGGCAGUAUUCUGACAACGAUUAGAAUGUCUUCUGUCUGCUAGUCUUCUUGAUUCUUAAAUUCUGUGGAGCUCAAAUAGACAACAAAACUUUGUGGAACUGAUUAAGUGUUAGCAUAAAUAUCUAGCCUUUAUCACGUUGAGACUCCUCAAUAAAUAUUACUCUCUAUUUUUAUAUUUUCAUUUUAUAGAACAGCAAAAAAUAUUUAUUUUAUUUUUAUGCCACCACAGUGAAUGUCCUUAUGGGUUUCAUUCCACUCGUAUACUCACAUGGGGCUUACUGUUUUUUAACAUUUUUAUUUUCUUUUUAGGAUAGUGUGAACAUGUUUAACUAAGUAAACUAUUUUAAAAUAAUUGAAAGGUAGGAUAACUACCAAGUUUAUCUCUUGGCAAGGCAUUCUGUGUUUUUAAGUCCUCCGAACGGGACUCUCCGUCUUCUAUUUGUUCUGGGAUUUGUUGGGUGGGGUAGUCGUUGCUUCCGGCGGCGCCUCUUCUUCGUGUAUAGUUAUCUUCUCUCUCCACACCUGACUUGGUGCUACGGUCUCCUCUGGAUAAUUCUGUUCAAGCUGUAUGUCUUCAGACCUUACCACUUCUCCUUCAUAGUCUGCCCAUCCGUCCUUGAUAAUCUGCCUCCUCUGGUUUAGGUUGCGUCAUUUUCUUCUUGUCCUGUCCUGCUUAGAGUCUUCAAUGAUAUAAUUAGGAUCAGUAAAAUAGCAGCGUACCUUCUCUAAGGGGAAGUGCAUGUGGACUUCUCCAGUUCCAAUGUAGAUGAUUGCUUUAACGGUGCUGAGGAAUGGUCUUCCAAGGAUGAUGGGUAGAUCGUACUCAUCUUCUCCCAUGUCAAUAACCUGAAAGUCUGUGUAGACAAAAUAAUCGUCUAUUUUGACAGGGACAUCAGUUACUAUACCUUUAACCUCUCGAAAUGUCUGAUCUGCCAUCUGGAGCUGAAUGUAUAUUGGUUUUAAGGGCAUGGUUCCGAACAAGAGCCGAUAGGUGACUGCGGCCAUUAUGUUGACGCCCGAUCCGGUGUCGCAAGUCGUCUUGUAGAAGUUGUAUCCAUUUAUGGAGCAAUAGAUCCUUGACAUUCCUAGGUCGUCCUUCUUGGUCAGAAACGGUGACAUAAGUCGAUGAUCUUGACCUCCUUGAACUGCAGUGACCAUCUUAGCUGACUCGGUCCACACUUGCUUGUUCUUAUUCCUCCUGUUGGUCCUCUUCCUUGAUUCAUGUCGAGAUUGCUCUAGGAUUUGUGUAGUCUUGUUCUUGAAGGAAAAUGUCUCCUUCCUCCCUUUGAUGUAGAAACUGAUCUUGGCAGCACUAGCGUAGAUGACAACUCCCGAGGUGUUCAAGAAUGGCCUCCCUAAGAUGAUGGGUGCCCUCUCAUCAUUACCGAUCUCUAUCACCACGAAGUCUGCUGGGGCGUAUAAGGUACCAACUCAGACACAGAGGUUCUUCAAUAUUCCUUUUGGAAAACUUAUCGUCUGAUCUGCAAACAGCAAACACAUGGUUGUUUCUAAUAAAGGAUAUGUAAAGCAUUUUUCAUAGAGUACCUUGGGCAUAAUGUUGACGCUGGAGCCAAAGUCGCAGAGUGCUUCUGGGAAGUCCACCAUGCCGAUGGAGAUCGGGAUGACGGGGCGUCCUGGAUCGCCUCUCUUGACCGGCAGAAGGUCAGUAGUAACUUUAGUGACAGGGUUACUCCAGUAGUUAUCCGCAUCAAACAUGUCUACAAGAUUUGCAGAUUCUAAUUCUUCCGGCUGUGAUGGUAUACCGGGGUUAGUAGCAGGAACAGAAGCAGCUAUUUGAUUUAACUGAGAUUCAAUCAUUUUAUUAAAGCUAAUUUUAUUCUUGAUGGCAGUAGAGAAAUCAUCCAUUCUGUUAUUUAUAUUUUCUAACAUUUUAUCAUUAGAUGCCAAUUUCUUAGAUAGGUUAUCCAUUAGCUUUCCUUGAUUAGACACUAACUCUCUUAGAAGUGGAAAAUUAUUAGUAUUAUUGUAAGAAUUGUUACCUUGAUAAUUACCUGAGUAGUUAGGCCUCUAUUGAUUCCAACCUUGAUUUUGUUGACGACGGUUGUAGUAGUUGUUGUUAUUGUUGAUGUAGUUCACACCCUUAAACAUCUCAGGGCAAUGAUUGCCUGAGUGUCCAGUAUCUCCACACUCCUCACAAGUCAUGUGAGAGUCGUAGAUGUGUAUAACUUCUUUCUUAUCUCCAGCUCUAUCAUCGAGCUUCUUCAUGAGCAGGUCUAGUUUUGCAGACAGCAUGUCUACCUCCUUGAGCUGAUGCAUACCUCCUCCUCUCUUGCGUGUCUGGGUCCUUUCUUCAUUCCAGCUUUGAUUGGACGCCAUCUUCUCCACAAGAGCUGUGGCUUGUGAUAUGGUGAGUGAUAGGAAUGCUCCACCAGCUGCAGCAUCCAUGGUUUCUCGAGCAACUAUUGCCGAGCCCAUGAUAAAAUGUCUGCAUCAGUAGCCACCUCUCCAUUCCAUGAUGGGGACAUUUUAGAAUGUAGUCUUGGAAGAGCUCCCGUGCUUCUAGAACAGAUUCAUCAUCUUGUUGCUAAAAACUUGUAAUUUUCCCACAGCGAGCAUUGGUCUUGCCCAUGCGAAAGAACUUAGCCAGAAAGUUUGUGGAGCAGAGUGCCCACGUAGUAUUCUUCUCCUUUGUAGCGUAGAACCACUGCUUCGCUCUUCCUAACAGUGAGAAUGGGCAGAGGCGAAGUAGUAUAGCAUCUCUGGGACUCCUGAUAUGGUGAAUGUGCUGCAAAUCUCCAGGAAGUGUUGGAGAUGAGCACUAGCAUGUGCCUUCCCACAGAACUGGUUGGAUUGCACCAUGUUGAUAAGUCCAGGCUGUUGAUAUUUGGUAACGCCAUCAGGAAAUGAUCCGCAAGCGCACGGAUAUCGGUGAGCACUUCACCCGGGAGGUUAUCCAGAGUAUCGUAUUUAUAUUUUUGUUGACACUUGCUAACACCACUUGAAUACUAGGUUGUCAUCCCAGCAUGGAACUAGAGUGUACUAUGGUAUUUAUACGCACACAGAUAAAUCCGCAAGCGCACGGAUACCAUUGUAGCUUUUACCUAGUUAAAGGUUUUAUCGUAUCCACAGGGAAAUGGGAGAACCAACUACGCUCUAACUUAGCCAAGAUAGAUAGAUAAGUGUAAAUCGAAAAGAUGAUAUUAAAGGUAAGAUGGCGAUAAUAUGGGAAUAGAGAGUAGAGCAAUCUAGUAUAUGGGCGAUGGUAGCAGAAUAGAGAGCAUAACUAUGGUUUCUCUACUUCAAAGGGGUAUGUCUAUGUCUGAGAUGAACCACGUGAUAAGAAUACACCACAAAGGAUGCUUAUCCAUAGGCCGAUAAACCCUACCCGUCCUGCUAACAGGAGGUGGACUACAGGGGACCAACGUAACUGUCACCUACGCGGCCUACCACACGAUCCAGCUAGACAGGGGAUGUCCACAAGUAAUCUAGGUCUAAGCACCACGCUUACACCUAUACUACAACUCUAACCUAUAGGGUCCUAUAGAUUAGAAGUACUCAAAAGAGUUGUGAACCAAAACAUACACGAUUAGUAAUUGCAUAAUGAAUUAGAAGUAGAUUACCAUAGUCAUCCCAUGAGCAAGCUUGAUUAGAGCUUGAUCAUGGCGAAGUACAACCGGAGGAAGAACCGACGGACGGCCUCUCCUCCAAUCCUCCCUCGCUCUCCAUCUUGCUACUAUCUAAAUCUACUCUAGUUUAGAGAUGAGAGGAGAGCUCUCAUCUCCAAACCCUAGCUUUUGCUCUGUCUAUGAAUAAUGAAUAGGGAUCAAGGGGUGCCUCCUCCAGAGGCCAGGGGGUCUGCUUAUAUAGUCCCUUCAAGUGAAUCUGGGCCGUCGGAUCAAACCGACAUUGAUUGAAUGGUUAUUCUUGAUCCUUUAGGUCGGUGGAGCAUAAUCCCCGAAGCGAGUCCUUAUUGGACUCUGGGACAGGGCGGGCGCCCAAGAGGGGAGGGCGAGCGCCCUACCCCCGAGCCCGCUCGGCCUCCCGUUCGUUCCCGUGGCUUCUGGAGUCCCCUAGAUGAUAGAAAAUUGUGCGGCACGUUCAUAUCUCUGUGUAAACCUGAUAUGUGGGCCUUUCUUCCAUAAUUCCUGAUAACCCCCUGCAGAAAUAGACAAAUACCAAAACUUGUGGAAUUCUGUCAGAUAAAACCCUAAGUAUGGGUGUUGGUUUUAUUUGGAUCCUUUUCUUUGUUUAUUUGCUGAUUAUAUUUGGUACUUAAGGACCGUCAACAACUCCCCCAAGCUUACCUCUUGCUCGUCCCUGAGCAAGGAUGGACUCAAGAGUUUCUACAGUGGUUUUAUGCCUUAAAGGUACACAUGCGUUUAAACAAGAUCUCAUCUCUAGGUUAGGGUAAAUUGUUAAGAUUUAAAACUUACUCAUAUUACCUUUCACCAUGGGGCUUGCAACCGUCACUUGUGUCUUGAGCAGUUAAAAGAUAGAAUGGUCAAGUCAAGCACCAUGUCUCUUGUUCUUUGAUCAACUAUAGCUCUGGAAUUUUUGCAGAUUUUCAAAUAAAACUCAGAGAUUCCUAUAUGACUCUCUCAAUUCUCUCUUUUGUGGCAUUUCUGGUUCCUCACCAAGGCAGUGAUGGUAUAUGCCUUCUCUCAAAGAAUGUAGUAUUUGUGGUAUAAGGCAUAGUGACAUUGCCUUUUCUCUCACCCUACUCUAAUAAGGCUUGAUAUCUGGAGCCCAUAGGUGGGAGAUAAAGUAUACAUACUUACAAUACAUUUAUUGCAUAGUCAAACCAUGGAUCUAGAGAAACAAGUCAAUAAGUCAAAUCAAGAUGUGCAUGUGUGGCGAAUAAAUGGUGUAUGGUGAUGAUGGUGAUAAUGGUGAAAACAUUGGUGAAAGUCUAAUUCUACUUUUGCUCUUUUGAGGGGAUACAUACCUUUCUUGUACUUUGAAGCUUUUUGAGGAGAAUGAGAGGCUCUAUAUUUUCUUUUUCUUUUCUCUCAGGUGGGUAUCUUGUACCCCUAAUUCUACUGUCGGACACUUGUCCAUUUUUACCUCUCGUCUCACUUUUUCUUUUCUUCGAGGUUUUGGGCACUUGCCCCUUUUUAUUUCCUCGUAUUCACUCUUUUUUUUCAGAGCACUCACCCUCCUAGAAUAAUGUAGCAAGUGGUAGUAACGAAAAUAUCAAGAGCAUUUAUUUCAUGGGGAAUAAUAGGGAUAGGAUAAUGUUAUUGGCUAUUCUCUCCUGGAUAGGAGUAGAAUAAUUUUAGGUGAAUCUGGAGAUGGAAAGGAGUAGAUGUAUUUGGAUGCGUACUUCCGGAGUAGAAGCAGCAUGUGUGAGUGAACGUGCAUGUGAAUCUUAAUUUUAACCGCAUGACAAGCUCCUAAGGGUCUACACAGCUUGACCACACUCAAUGCUCAUAAGCAGUAAAAAGUAAAUGUAUGGUUCAUAGUCUAAUAAGCAUGUAUAUACGGCUGUGGUAGGAUUUUAAACUCUCAUCAUACAGGAACUCAUCAUGCAACAUUUUAAAGAUUUUCAAAGAUAAAAUUCUCCAGAAUUUUAGCAUCUCUAGGAACAGAUAAACAACAGCUCAACCUUCCCAUAUCAUAUCCGUUAACGACUUAGACCUUAGAUCAAGUACUUUUCCCCCAAGUUCAGGUUUAGAGCAAAUCUUAAUUCAUAACAGUCAUGCCUAAACUUGAGAGAGAUUUCAAUUUUGAGAACUAAUCAUGGCAGAGCAACUAUUCAUCAUUUCCAUGUGAGAGCUUAUCAUGAGGGUUCAUAGCAAACUUUAUUUAUUUAUUUAUUUAGCAAACUAAGCAUAGAUAUAUAUAUAUAUAAGCAUAAAAUCUUUAUUUGGGUUUUUAUGAUCAUGCAUCUUUUUAUUAUUUGAGUAAAGUAUAAAUGCGAGUAGAAACACUUAGCUAGAUAAAUGGGGGUGCUCUCUCCCAAGCUGGAUUUUAACGUAAUUUCUUCUGAUGUAGCUAGCAGGUGGCGGAGGUAUAUUCGAAUGUCGGCAGCUGUAACACCCUAAAAUUUUCUCCUUUCAAAGUAGAUGUAAAUUUAAGUAAUUUUGUAUUUUUAUGAUCAUAAAAAUAUAGGAAAAAUAAUAUUUUUAUUAAAUUAAAAUUUAUCAUAAGAUUUAGCAACAUUGUUGCGCAUACAUGCUGGUGCAUUCGAUUUGAUGUAAUGUUUGCUUGAUGCUUUUUUGUGUGUUGAGAGUGAGCAAAAUCUUUAGAAUGCGUUUAGUAGGUCGGUCUUCCUUCUGCGACAUAUCUUUAUCUUUUUGUACAAUAAAAUUCAUUGUUUCUCAGCUUAAGCUUUCAUUCAGAGCUUCUCAAAUCUUUUUGUUGUAACCCAAAUCACUCGUUUUAGUUCGUCAACCACCAAGCAAUCUCUAUAAACUUCUCAGAAAUUUUUAUGGCCUUUUCCGUGGAGCAUAAUCUAAUUCUAGAUGCUCUAAAUUAUCUUAUUAUGAUCUCUAAAUACCUUAUUUGGGUUCCUCUUGUUCCAUUAUAUCUCAGAGAAUUUUUUCCAAAUUUUCGAAGGUUGCGGAUAAUUUUUUUCUGGCUCAAAUAGUAAUUGUAGACUUUUCUAGAUAUUUUACCCAUAAAAUUAAUUAAUUCCAAAAAUAAUUGAUCCUAAUUCUAAUCUAUCUCAAACCAAGUCUUUUGGUUCAUUAAUUAAUGGAUCAAGGCCUGUUACCUCCAAUAGUCUAGCACGUGCCAGCCCAAAGAAAUCCAUUGCUUCGUUUUUUUCUAUCCUACUCGCAAACAUGGGCUUCUGGGCAUAUUAUAUAUAUUUAUACACCCAUAUUAGUUGAUGCCUAGGGCAGUAUAACCUUGUUGCCGCUGCCGUAUCGAGGCCGGCGCCGUACGACAACUUUGCCGUCGUCAAGCUAUAGAUCAUCCCGACGAGAUCGUCAUCUUCAUCCACUGAUUUUCCACCGAGCAAGGUAGAUCACAUCUGCUCUGUCUUGCCUAUUGAAUCAACAAGCUAAUAAGCUUCUUCACGUACUGAACAAGGAUGCCGGCUUGCUGCAGAUCACAUCCGCGAAGUCCACAAAUAAGGGCAGAUCGAAUGACGCCGCGAACGGCAGGAGUGCCGCCGGCGUCUGCGAUUUGUGAACCACCAUCAUGGGACGUUGUCAUCUAUUCUACAUACAGCCAUCACCACUACAAAUUCCGUUAGAUCAUCUCCCAUCUCACCUGAUCCAAGCCUCCAUCUUUGGUAUGCAUGCGAAUCUGCCGAUGAGAAGACCAUACCGUGGACUUUGCAAGUAGGUUCACGUCGUCCCUCAUCUGGACUUUCUAUUGAUCUCUUUCUCAAAUGUCUAACUGUUAGUUCCUUUAUCCUUUUGUGUCAUGUCACAAGCCAUAUAUGCCAGUUGUUUCCCUAACGUGCUUUGGAUCCUACCCAUCUGCCGCAGUUGCCGACCAUAUGUGGCGUCGCCUGCCAAUAUGCCAUAGUUGUUUCGGUCUUGUCUGGUCACCAUGGCCAUGCUCCAGCCCUUGCCCGAGACGAUGAGGAAGCCAGGAUUGUCUGCCAGCUAACAACUGUUCCAACUAGCAAGCAAAUUCGACAUAUUCUUAUUCGUGUUCACGUUAGGCACAUGCAGGCCAAGCUUCAUGCUCUGUACAAGCCAAUCAAACUUCUGGGCUGCCAAUUCAUCUUUGGUCAGUGGAGGUACAUGAGCAGAGAUCACGGGGAAAACUACUUAACUUUCUAUCUAUUCAGUGUCUUUCGUAUGGAUACAGAUCCUUGUAGUCCAAUCUUGGCAUCUUUAAUCCCAAGUCGUUUAUGAUCCGUUCUCUUUUGUUGUGUACUUUUGCUAACGUGAGAUAUAUAUUAGCAGCUAAGCUGAGCAUGCCACGUACUACUAAAUUUUAAAUUGAAUACUAAUUUGUUUAAUACGCAUACAGAAAGCUUUUCCAAUUAAAAAAAACAUAGGGUUAUCUUUGAUGUUUGUACAUAAAUAUUAAUAUGAUUAAUUAAUAUUAAUAAUAUAACUGUGUUGUUAAAUUGUAAAUUCCUUAGUUUAAACACCCCUUGUAUAAAUUGAUUAAAGGCUCUCAUAUAUUUAUUUCUUUUGCAAACUGAAGUGUAAAUGACUUUAAUAGUACGCGACAUAUUUGUAAAUAAAUUAAAAAUGAUUAGUUUUAAGCCUGGCUUUUCAAUUUCAUGCAUGUGACUAAUCUCAAUAAAAAUUCUUAUAAUCUUGCUUACUUAAAAUAAAUCAAGUUAGUGGUGGUUUCUUUUCUUUUACAAUUUAAAUUAUUCCGUAGUUGUUUCUUAUUCCGAUAAGAGUACUUUUUACUUCUGGGUGCUCGUAGCAAUGCGUAGAUUAGUUUUUGAACCUUUCUAUUGAUUGGUGUAUUGUUCUAAAUUUAUUAUGUUUGCUAUGCAUGUUUGUUCGGAUGCUUGUGUGGUAUGAUCCUGUCUAGUCGGCGAGUUUUAUGUGGUGAACAAGAGUACUUCAGUGAUCAAGAUCAGAGCCUUGGACAAGUAAGACCACCUGAACCAAAAGGGUCAGCAAGAGCAAUUGGAUUAAGGCAAGUAUAGCAUUUGAAUUUUAUUUCUGUGACCAUGAUCGUGUGACUAGAUUAAUGUUAAGUAAUAAAUGAUAAAAAUGACUUUUUAGCAACUUGAUGAUUUAUCUGUACGUGAUCACCGGGGACAACAGUGCAACCAUGAGGGCUAUAAUGGCUCUGGCUUUAGCUCAGUAUGAAGACCUUUUCUAGCUUGUUAGAGGUUACCCGAAAGGGCGCUAGAGGGGCUGAACCGACACGGGUAUAGUGCGAGCCCCUGUCCCUAUGUGUAUAGGCUGUGCGUCAUUGUGCCAUUCGGAAGGGGGGUAUCUAUAUCUGCUCGCGAAGGAAACCUUGCGGCCCUAACAUGUUAGACGAACUUUUGAAAGGCUUCAUAGUGAUCCCUGCCGACCUUCCUUGGUAGUGGGUUAAGAGGUCGACGGGCCUCGGGCGAAAGGGUAAAUCAUGACUCAUGGGUAAAGAUGUACAACCUCUGCAGAGUGUUAAAAACUAGUAUACUAGCCGAGCUCACGGUCAGGAGCGGCCUUGGGGACAUCUACAUUAAGGGCGAUGAUUCUUGUGUGUUAAUAUGUUCAUUAUUAUUGUUUAAUGCUCUACAUUAUUUAUAUCACAUUGAUCAUGAGAUUGUGGGAGCUAUAUAAUCUAGUUGCUAUACUUGUGGAGUUCGACAUGGACUCACUCUUGCUAUUUCCCCCACACUUCAGGAGAUGGUUUAGGCUUGUGAUCAACCAGUCAGUUGGAUUUUGUAGAGAGAAGUUAAUACCCAAAGUUUGGAGUUGUCUAUCCGCUGUUUGUUAUCAAAGGGUAUCUCUUUUAUACUAAGUAUGUUAUAUAUUUGUGCAUUGUCUUUUGAUAUUACCCCUUAUUUGUAGCUAUAUGUGAGAUUUGACCUCUAAAACUCACAUAUGGUGCAUAUCUGAUUUUGUCCUUAAAAUCGGGUAUUACAAAGUGGUAUCAGAGCAAUGCUGACUGUAGGACGCAAGCCUAGUUAGAAAUCAGUCGUCUUAAGGUUUUGAAAUUGUUAUAAAAUCCUUGUUCUGUAAACCUUGAUAUUUUCUCUACACUAUAUCCUUUUCAUUGCUAUUCAUCUUCACCUUGUUGCUUAUUUUAAAGACUUGUUCUCAUCCCCACUCCUUGCUUGAUAUGCUUUUAGAACUUUUUCUUACCACCUUCUGGCAUCGUUGGAAUAGGUGUUUUAAGAUAUCUACCCUUGCUAUGAAGAGAACGAUAGUAUCGCAAAUUGAGUGAAGUGUGCUUAAUUGGUUUGUUAUUAUGUUUAUGCUUGAUUUGGAUCUUUGUAAUGAGUGCAAUGAUCUUGUGGGUUUGCUCCACAAUAUCAUUUAGUUUAUAGGCCUAAUAUCAUUUAGUUUAUAGGCCUAAGGUAUAAGGAGUAGUGAAAUAAGUAGUUGGGUUUGCCUAUCUCUUGUUUCUAUCCCUUGCUGAUUACCAGAGCAGUCUGCUAUAAUGCUAGUGUAUCUCAAGUUCUGAUUAUGCAAAGUUUAUCAAAAUUUUCUGGGAACAAAUAGACUUCAAGAUCUUUCCCUGACCGCAAGAAUCACCCUUAUAGCUAUUAUGGUUUAGAAGUUACAAAAAUCACAAGAUGAUACAACUGUGCUGCCAAGAAUCUGGAUCAGUUUUGGUUGCUUACUGUUUGAGACAAACAUAGCUAUAGAAUUUGGAAAAGUAUUCUAUAGAAAAGUUGUAGGCAAUUUUCUAUUUCCAACGGUAUAAGCUGGAACUUAUUUGGGUAAGUAAAACCUGAGAUAUGAUAUUUAUAAUUAGAUGUUUCUGUUCUGUUUCGAAAUCUGGACAGAUCUGGUAUUUCCUAUUUUCAGCCAAGUUAAAGUCAGAAUCUGGGAAAACAUUGUAUAUGAAAGUUGUAGAGGAUUUCCUAAGCUUUUCAAAAAUGUAUGGAUCAUCUCCAGAUGAGUUAAGUAGCUCGAGAUAUAACUUCUGGAAUUUACUACACCUUUGCUGAGACAUUAUCAGGAUGGAUAAUAUGUUUGGCUAUUUUACCUAAGUUAAAAGACAAAAUCUAAGGAGGUCUUCUACAUGAAAGUUGUAGGGAAUUUCAUAAGUUUUCUAAUUAUAUAAGCUACAGCUCUAUUGGAUUCACAGAAUAAGAGUUAUGUCUAUUUUACUACGCUGGUGUUUUUCAUAUCACGAGAAAGUUUCAGGAUAUUUGUUCUUCUCUUACACAUAAGUGCCUCGGGAUGUCAGAAGUUCUCAAUGUUAGUUAACUUGUGUUGAAAGUAUGCAAGCUACCUUUCUUGGUCCCCUAGUUGACUUUUCAUAAGGGGGUAGCCUAAUUAAAGAAGUUACAUAGAGAAAAAUUGGAUAAUGUUGGAUCAUAAGUGAAGAUCACAAGUGCUUGGUAAAUUGGUUUUGAUUCAGGAUAUCAUCCAAUUUAGAGAAUAUUAAUGGAGAUAUAUGUCAUUGCUGAUACUUAUGGAUUGAGAGUUAUGGUUAUGAGGAUCAGAUGACACCAAAGGUUACGAAGUUAUAUGUACAUUAUGAGAGUGAAACAACUUAGCCGUGAUAAAGGUACUGAUAAUUGGAACUUAGUGAUGAAACUAACCUUGGAUCAAGAGAAUCGGUACAACGGAUGUAAAAGACUAUGAUGUGUAGCGUCCAAAAAGGAUAGGAGAACUAGUCCUUAGUGUCCCCCAAUCAAUCUCAUUUUAAGGGGGGUAGCACCUAUAUCACGGGAUGAUGCAUUUUAAAAACUAUCUUGCAGAGAUAAUUGUCUUCUGAGAGGUUCUAUGGAUAUGAUCAUCUAUCCUUGCUGAGUCACUGACGUUGGUCACUCGAUGACAGGGAGUGUAGUGUCCCAUGGAUCAGGAGCAAAAUAUGACACCUCCCGUGGAUAUGUUGGAAGAUUAUGAUCAUCUGGCUUUUGAAGAAAGAUGUUAUGAGUAAUAGGUAUUCUACGGAAAAUUUUGUUCACGAGAUAAGACUAUAAGACAUAAGUGUUUAUCUUUGGAGUGCAAGUGGUGAAGUUGAAAUAGUUAUCAGUAUCUUUUCUUUUUUCUCUUUUGGAAUCCGUACCUCUUCCGAAUCUCGAGGACGAGAUUCAUUUUAAGAGGGUAGAAUUGUAACACCCUAAAAUUUUCUCCUUUCAAAGUAGAUGUAAAUUUAAGUAAUUUUGUAUUUUUAUGAUCAUAAAAAUAUAGGAAAAAUAAUAUUUUUAUUAAAUUAAAAUUUAUCAUAAGAUUUAGCAACAUUGUUGCGCAUACAUGCUGGUGCAUUCGAUUUGAUGUAAUGUUUGCUUGAUGCUUUUUUGUGUGUUGAGAGUGAGCAAAAUCUUUAGAAUGCGUUUAGUAGGUCGGUCUUCCUUCUGCGACAUAUCUUUAUCUUUUUGUACAAUAAAAUUCAUUGUUUCUCAGCUUAAGCUUUCGUUCAGAGCUUCUCAAAUCUUUUUGUUGUAACCCAAAUCACUCGUUUUAGUUCGUCAACCAUCAAGCAAUCUCUAUAAACUUCUCAGAAAUUUUUAUGGCCUUUUCCGUGGAGCAUAAUCUAAUUCUAGAUGCUCUAAAUUAUCUUAUUAUGAUCUCUAAAUACCUUAUUUGGGUUCCUCUUGUUCCAUUAUAUCUCAGAGAAUUUUUCCCAAAUUUUCGAAGGUUGCGGAUAAUUUUUUUCUGGCUCAAAUAGUAAUUGUAGACUUUUCUAGAUAUUUUACCCAUAAAAUUAAUUAAUUCCAAAAAUAAUUGAUCCUAAUUCUAAUCUAUCUCAAACCAAGUCUUUUGGUUCAUUAAUUAAUGGAUCAAGGCCAGUUACCUCCAAUAGUCUAGCACGUGCCAGCCCAAAGAAAUCCAUUGCUUCGUUUUUUUCUAUCCUACUCGCAAACAUGGGCUUCUGGGCAUAUUAUAUAUAUUUAUACACCCAUAUUAGUUGAUGCCUAGGGCAGUAUAACCUUGUUGCCGCUGCCGUAUCGAGGCCGGCGCCGUACGACAACUUUGCCGUCGUCAAGCUAUAGAUCAUCCCGACGAGAUCGUCAUCUUCAUCCACUGAUUUUCCACCGAGCAAGGUAGAUCACAUCUGCUCUGUCUUGCCUAUUGAAUCAACAAGCUAAUAAGCUUCUUCACGUACUGAACAAGGAUGCCGGCUUGCUGCAGAUCACAUCCGCGAAGUCCACAAAUAAGGGCAGAUCGAAUGACGCCGCGAACGGCAGGAGUGCCGCCGGCGUCUGCGAUUUGUGAACCACCAUCAUGGGACGUUGUCAUCUAUUCUACAUACAGCCAUCACCACUACAAAUUCCGUUAGAUCAUCUCCCAUCUCACCUGAUCCAAGCCUCCAUCUUUGGUAUGCAUGCGAAUCUGCCGAUGAGAAGACCAUACCGUGGACUUUGCAAGUAGGUUCACGUCGUCCCUCAUCUGGACUUUCUAUUGAUCUCUUUCUCAAAUGUCUAACUGUUAGUUCCUUUAUCCUUUUGUGUCAUGUCACAAGCCAUAUAUGCCAGUUGUUUCCCUAACGUGCUUUGGAUCCUACCCAUCUGCCGCAGUUGCCGACCAUAUGUGGCGUCGCCUGCCAAUAUGCCAUAGUUGUGCCGGUCUUGUCUGGUCACCAUGGCCAUGCUCCAGCCCUUGCCCGAGACGAUGAGGAAGCCAGGAUUGUCUGCCAGCUGCCAACUGUUCCAACUAGCAAGCAAAUUCGACAUAUUCUUAUUCGUGUUCACGUUAGGCACAUGCAGGCCAAGCUUCAUGCUCUGUACAAGCCAAUCAAACUUCUAGGCUGCCAAUUCAUCUUUGGUCAGUGGAGGUACAUGAGCAGAGAUCACGGGGAAAACUACUUAACUUUCUAUCCAUUCAGUGUCUUUCCGUAUGGAUACAGAUCCUUGUAGUCCAAUCUUGGCAUCUUUAAUCCAAGUCGUUUAUGAUCCGUUCUCUUUUGUUGUGUACUUUUGCUAACGUGAGAUAUAUAUUAGCAGCUAAGCUGAGCAUGCCACGUACUACUAAAUUUUAAAUUGAAUACUAAUUUGUUUAAUACGCAUACAGAAAGCUUUUCCAAUUAAAAAAACAUAGGGUUAUCUUUGAUGUUUGUACAUAAAUAUUAAUAUGAUUAAUUAAUAUUAAUAAUAUAACUGUGUUGUUAAAUUGUAAAUUCCUUAGUUUAAACACCCCUUGUAUAAAUUGAUUAAAGGCUCUCAUAUAUUUAUUUCUUUUGCAAACUGAAGUGUAAAUGACUUUAAUAGUACGCGACAUAUUUGUAAAUAAAUUAAAAAUGAUUAGUUUUAAGCCUGGCUUUUCAAUUUCAUGCAUGUGACUAAUCUCAAUAAAAAUUCUUAUAAUCUUGCUUACUUAAAAUAAAUCAAGUUAGUGGUGGUUUCUUUUCUUUUACAAUUUAAAUUAUUCCGUAGUUGUUUCUUAUUCCGAUAAGAGUACUUUUUACUUCUGGGUGCUCGUAGCAAUGCGUAGAUUAGUUUUUAAACCUUUCUAUUGAUUGGUGUAUUGUUCUAAAUUUAUUAUGUUUGCUAUGCAUGUUUGUUCGGAUGCUUGUGUGGUAUGAUCCUGUCUAGUCGGCCAGUUUUAUGUGGUGAACAAGAGUACUUUAGUGAUCAAGAUCAGAGCCUUGGACAAGUAAGACCACCUGAACCAAAAGGGUCAGCAAGAGCAAUUGAAUUAAGGCAAGUAUAGCAUUUGGAUUUUAUUUCUGUGACCAUGAUCCUGUGACUAGAUUAAUGUUAAGUAAUAAAUGAUAAAAAUGACUUUUUAGCAACUUGAUGAUUUAUCUGUACGUGAUCACCGGGGACAACAGUGCAACCAUGAGGGCUAUAAUGGCUCUGGCUUUAGCUCAGUAUGAAGACCUUUUCUAGCUUGUUAGAGGUUACCCGAAAGGGCGCUAGAGGGGCUGAACCGACACGGGUAUAGUGCGAGCCCCAGUCCCUAUGUGUAUAGGCUGCGCGUCAUUGUGCCAUUCGGAAGGGGGGUAUCUAUAUCUGCUCGCGAAGGAAACCUUGCGGCCCUAACAUGUUAGACGAACUUUUGAAAGGCUUCAUAGUGAUCCCUGCCGACCUUCCUUGGUAGUGGGUUAAGAGGUCGACGGGCCUCGGGCGAAAGGGUAAAUCAUGACUCAUGGGUAAAGAUGUACAACCUCUGCAGAGUGUUAAAAACUAGUAUACUAGCCGAGCUCACGGUCAGGAGCGGCCUUGGGGACAUCUACAUUAAGGGCGAUGAUUCUUGUGUGUUAAUAUGUUCAUUAUUAUUGUUUAAUGCUCUACAUUAUUUAUAUCACAUUGAUCAUGAGAUUGUGGGAGCUAUAUAAUCUAGUUGCUAUACUUGUGGAGUUCGACAUGGACUCACUCUUGCUAUUUCCCCCACACUUCAGGAGAUGGUUUAGGCUUGUGAUCAACCAGUCAGUUGGAUCCUGUAGAGAGAAGUUAAUACCCGAAGUUUGGAGUUGUCUAUCCGCUGUUUGUUAUCAAAGGUUAUCUCUUUUAUACUAAGUACGUUAUAUAUUUGUGCAUUGUCUUUUGAUAUUACCCCUUAUUUGUAGCUAUAUGUGAGAUUUGACCUCUAAAACUCACAUAUGGUGCAUAUCUGAUUUUGUCCUUAAAAUCGGGUAUUACAGCAGCACCCUGACAGCGAUUAGGAUGUCCUCCGUCUGCUAGUCUUCUUUGAUCCUUAAAUUCUGUGGAGCUCAAAUAGACAACAAAGCUUUGUGGAACCGGUUAAGUGUUAGCAUAAAAAUCUCUUUGCCUUUAUCAUGUUGAGCUUCCUCUAAUAAACUCUCUUUGGUAGGAUCAUAAAUUUAUUUUUAUAUUUUCAUUUUUAUAGGAUAGGAAUAUAUUUAUUUUAUUUUUACGCCACCACAGUGAAUGUACUUAUGGGUUUUAUGCCACGAGCAUACUCACAUGGGGCUUACUAUUUUUAAACAUUUUUAAUUGCUUUUCAAGAUAGCAUAAUCAACUAACAAGCUAUUUAAGGAAAGUAAAUAAUUAAAGGGAAAAGGGAAUGCAGAAAGGAUAAAUAUGGAUAACUACCGAUUUUACCUUUCGGCGAGGGUUCAAUGUUUUAAGUCUUCUGAACAAGACUUCUCACCGUGUUCAUUCUUCAGGUGCGUCAUUUGAUUCAGGUGCGGACCUGGACGUAUACACCUCUUGAUACGGUGUCACCCAUGUUCUUCGUUUGCACAGCAGUUCGAAGUGCGGUGUUGGUAGUAUCUUGCUCAGUGUGUUUGUGCUCGUAGAUCCAGGUCUUUCACUUGGUGGAAUCUGGGAGUUGUAAAACUCCACCAUGUUUUGCUCCAAGUGUACCUGCUCAUAGAGACAAGACAGAGAUCAAGUGCAUGGGUCCUGUUGGUGGAAAACACCAACAGAACUAAAAGUGUAUUUGUUCUUCUCUAACCUUAAGCAUAGUGAGCAAGACAAAGUUGAUGGAUGAUAAGUUCAUGAGUGUAGUACUUAUAACAUUUGUCAGAUCAGAUUGCUUCAACCUUACGGAAAGAUAAUCUAUCUAUAUAUGUCUUUUUCUUUAUAUCUCUCAAAGAUUGAAUGUGCAAUAUUUUAGCUCAUAUGAUUAGGAGUGUGGGAUCACAAAAGUGGAAGGACUAAACAUGUUGAAUCGAUUGGGUUAGUUAACCUAGAGCUGUAAAUCAUACAUGUUUGUCUCUUUUAUUCAUAUGAACACCAAAACCAAGGAGAAGCUUAUAAAAGUGAUAGCCAAGUAUCUUAAGGUGUUACCUUACUUGAAGAGUGAUGGUACAGUAUCACCUUGUGGAAGCUUUACUUUCUUAGCGAUUGUUCAUCUUGGUUAUGUACUUUGUCUCCUUCCGUGGAUCAUCUCUCUAUGAUGAAUGAGCUAUGUCCUCCUUGUGUAAAUUGUUAAACUUCAUGUGUCCCUCUCCUUGUCUCCAAUGUGAGUUUAUCUCAGGACUUCCCAGGUUGAUAUUGAAAGUUUUCCUGCAGGGGUUAGUCCGACAAAAUAUACCAAUAUCUACUCAAGCAGUUUUUAGUUCAAUAACCAAACUAGACUCCAUGUCUAAUCAGAUUAAGGAAGGCUGUUUAACCUAAGCACCAUGCUUAAUUUAAAAGCCAAUAGAAGUAUGUGCAGUACUUCCAAACUAACACUUACUAGGAUAAACAAAGGUAGCGUGAUGGCAUUUAUAGAGAUCUACUCAAGUGGAGAUGAAGUAGUGUGAUUAGUAUUUAACAAAUUGAGCAUGUCUCAAAGGUAGGGACAACCAACAUAGCAACAUGGCAAAGGAUGUUUUUAUGUAAAGUACUCCCCAAGCUUGAAUUUUUCAAAAUUCAAGUUUGGAUGAAUUUAAUUCAAUGUUGUAUGAUGAUCGGUUGGACAUGCUGUAACAUCCCUGAUGUUACGGUUAAUAAAAACGGAUCAUGUCAUCAUAAGCAUUGCAAAGCAUAAUUGUUAAAGCACAGUAGUAUGCAUCAACUUAAAAUAAGUUUACUUUGAUUGCUUGAGCUUAGGGAAGUAGAGUGUGCUUUUGUGGUGUGUUGUUGCUUGUGUGGUUGCUAAAACCCUAGGGUGGAAGUUUUCCGAAGAGCUAGGGGGGGAAAACCCUGAUUUCUGGAUCCUAGAUUUGCCCCUUUUUGUAUAAUUCAAAAACUAAGCAAAAUUUGAGGUUGAGUUCAAAAGCAAAGUUGUAGAUCUUGGCAAGAUGUACAACUUUGGUGUUUUGAGUCUUUGAAGUUUCAAUACAAAAUUCAAAGUAAUUUUGAAAAUACAGAUUUCCAGAAAGUGUCCCCUUUUCCAACUUAAAUUCCCAAUUCAAAAUCCAUUUGGAAUUUUGAAAAGUGGUCAACAUGAAAGUUGUAGAGCACAAAAAGUUGAGCAACUUUCAUGUUGGGAGUUUUUCAAGUUGUUAUACAAAAUCAAAAGUAAUUUUGGAAAUUCUGUUUUGCCCCAAUUCAAAAAUUUGGAAUUUCUUUGAUUUGAGUUUGAUUUUCAAACUGUUUGGCCAAAUUCACCCUGUUAUACUCAAAAUCAGCUCUGGUCACCAAAACAUGUUUUGUAGCUUAUAAAAUUUGGAACAACUUUUGUUUCGGUGAAAUUUCGGCUCCAGUUCAAAUUUUGGCUGAAUUUUGCAAAACAACAGAGCAAGUGGAUAUGGACUGCUACAGUGCUGAGCAGGGGGGGGUGCUCUGCCGCCGGAGCAGAGCCGCUACGUCCGGCACCGCCACGCGCCUGGCCACGCAGCUGCUUGGCUGCGCGCGCCCGCCGUGAUGUGGACGAGCCCCAGCGUGCUCAUCCACUCCCCUGCUGCUUCCACUGCACGGCCGCCUCGCUUCUCCCUUUUACGCCCGACACCGACGACCCGGCCGCGCCUUCAAUUUCACCGCACUCAAUCCCUUUCGAGCCAAAUUGAGCACUCCACAACGUUCGCCACGCCCUUGCGAACUCAGCGCACCCCUAUCUCUUUCUCUAACCCACCCAGUCGCCAGAACUUCUCUGUUCUUCCCCAACAUCGGCCGAGACCGCCGCCGUGAGCUCUCUCCGUGGCCACGCUAUUCCAGUGAGCAAAAUACCGAACUAGUGGAUGUUUCCGGUUCCACUUUAUCCCCAGAAGCUCAUGCGCUUCCUCUUUUUCCCAAGACGCGAACAGGAUCGCCGGAACAACUUCGCCGGAGCCGGAGCACCCGCCUGACCGCACGGCCACCGUCGCCAAGCUUUUCUACUGCUUCUCCCGUCGUGGUGAUGUGAGCACCAUGUCCCUUACCCUCCAUGGAAGCUCCCUUGCAUGUUAAUUUACACUCUACCAAGCCCUAAGGGCCGGUCCGCGGUCGGCUAUGGCGGCCGCCCGCCUUUCGCGUAGCCGAAGUGGGAGGGAGAGAGUAGAGCGUGAGUGGAGGGUGACAACAGGGUCGCGAAGACGAGGCGAGGCCGAUGCGCAUGCGUGCGGGAGCCAAGGACCUCGCUAACGGCGGCCGGAGCCGUGGCCGAGCCGCCGUGCGCGGUAGAGACGAAGCUGACGGGUGGGGCAUCCCCGUCAGCGUCCCGCGAAGAGGGGAGAGGGGGGGUCUGACGAGCGGGACCCGCCCGUCAGUGACCCGCAGAGAGAGGAGGGAGCAGCCCACAUGGCGCGCGCGUGGGCCGAACGGGAAUGGGCCGGCCUGCAGGCCGAUUUCCCGGCCACUCGCUGCACAGUACUGUUUUUCUUUUUCUUUUUGUGCAGUUUUUGAGUUAUGUUUGAAUUUAUGUAAUAAUUCGUGUGCUAAUCCAAAAAUCGUGGAAAUUUUUGUGUAGGCUCUCUGAAGUAAGUAGAACCCAAGAAAAAUAUUAAGUUCUGUUUUCUGGUAGUUUACAUGUCUGUAAAAAUCUGCCCUUUUAAUUAGCAAAUAAAACUUGUAUGAAUUUUAAUAAUUUAUUUGUAUGUCCAAAAAUCACCAAAAAUUGUGGGGAGCCUCUGAAUAUUAUUCCCUGGCUCCACCUAAAAUUUGGUGGCAUUUGGAUAAGGUUUGGUUAAAAUGUUAAUAAACCCUUAUUUAGUAUUUAAUUAAUCAUUCCAAAAUAAGUAAAUAGUGAUUAACUAAAAUCCUCAUAUUUAGGGUUGAGUGAUUUUGGGAUUGUGUGAUGACCUGAGGUCAUUAACUCUAAUGACCUCUGGCAGUUAAUUAUUGUUUAGCCUUAAUGCUUAAUUACUGUCAUUAGUAAUUAAUUAAGAAUUAAUUAAGGUAAAUAGGUUUAAUAAUUACUUAAUUUAAGAUAAUUAUGAAUUAAGUAAAUUCUUAGUUUACAGAUGCAACCUCUUGGGUAAAAAUAUUAAAUUAUUAAACAACUUUAUUUAUUGAUUUUCUGUAUUGCAUUGGGAAGACAAAUUGUACUUAAUUCGGUCCAUCUUGCAUAAUUGCCAUACGCAUAAGCAUUCAUCAUUUUGCGUAUAGUGUCCGUGACCGAAGGAGCGCCCGUUGAACCGAACCCCGAGGUCGGUGCUCCGUUCGAGGAAGUCGGAUCCGAGACUUGGGAAGUCUCCGAGGGUCCCUCUCUGCCCUGCAACCAAGGCAAGCCCCGGAUGCAUUAACCCCUCCUUGGAUGUUUUAAAUCUUUUAUCACUUAUGAAUUGAAAAUGCUGCAUUAGGUAGUUGAGAAUUGGGUUAACCUACUUGCUGCAUUUACUACCUUGAUAUCUGUAUCCUGUCCUUAACACCUGUUUUAUUUUAACACUGCGUAGCGAUGCUUAGCCCUGCUACUAGAUAGGUUUUCAACAAGAAAGUUUGAAGGGUUGUUGUGGGAUACACUUAUGAUCAAUGAUGUUUCAAUUUGAGACCGGUCGGUGGACUUGCUUUAAGAAUGGAGUCUUAAAGUAGUGUCUCCAACUGUGUCGGUUAAGGACCGGUCCGUUGAUGGCCUGCUGGGUUGAGAAUUUGUAGUACUAGCCACUUGCCCUCGGUAAGCCCGGUCUUGUGAUCCCUCGACGCGAACAGCUACUCGCGCACUGGGAGUGGAAAGAUGGCGAGAGUAGUGUGUACCCACCUUACGGAUCUGAGAUGACCGGAAAACAUCUAGAUCGGCUGUAGGAUGGUGGAGUACUGUGCUCUCGGGUGCCGCGAACCUGGUCAAAUUUGGGGAGAGCUUGAUUUGGGUUGAUAUAUGCAAGAUUUGGUUCUACAUAUGUCGGGUGGUUAGGAACUCCAGUUGGAUUGUUAAGCGAUUCGAAUCGUCGUUGCUCCCCGAUUGGGAGACUCAAUUCCUUCGACCCUCAUCGUAGUUAAAUAUGCAACUAAGUGAUAAAAUGAGAAAGGGGAAAAUGUCUCAUGAGGUUCGGAUCCCAAUUCCCGGACUCAUAGCGACAUGAAGCUAUGGCCAUCAAUAAAUAAUACUUAAUGAUAGGACUAGGAACUCACGGAUUCGUCUGUGGGGAACAACUAGUUAGACUAUCCUCGAAUUCUUCUGCCUCCGCGAGGGAGGAAUUCAGGGUAAAACUUGAAAAUAAGGAUGCACUACUAGUAAGCUUUUCCGCAAAACACUUUGGCUCCUUGCUCAGCCACCCCUUGUCUACCUUAAGCCUGCAUCCCUAAAUUCUCCUCUUUUCCCGUCGGAUAAGUCUUGUUGAGUACUCCCGUACUCAGGGUUUCAAUACCCCUGUUGCAGGUGAAGCUCAGGAGCCGACUUGUUUCGGACCCUGUUGUGUGACCGUCGUUGAGGCUGACGACGAAGAGGAGUGAGCGUGACCCAUGGGCAGGGUCUGUAAAUUUGUUCUGUCUGUACUAAAGCUUCAGUUGCUCCGCUGGACCAGGCUUGUAAUAACACUCUACUAUUUGGAAGAACUUCUUUUAUAAAUUAAGUUAUGUAAUACUUCCGCUGUUUCACUCUGAAAUAUUAUUUUGGUCUUGUGUUGUUGAGUUACUGCUUUAUCUUCGCAACGAAUGAUCCUGGUGUUAAGGUGGCCACUUGCUAUCCUGUAAGGGCGAGAAGAAACAGUUCUCGUGGUUUGACCAUUAUCAGUGGUCAGGUCGAGCCAGCUUGGUACGCCACAGGUAGCAGUGGAAUGAGCACACAGUAAGGCUCAUCGGACUUCUAAAGUGGGAGGACUUCCGGCACCACCGUCAGAGGUCCUUGGGACAAUGGCAGGUGUCGGUGGGCCCAAACACUUAAGGGGUUCUGCCACAGCUGGUAUCAGAGCAUUCGUUGCUAAGAUGACUGCUGAACCUUUUGAAAAACUUCAAAAAAAUUCGUUUGGAACUAAUACUAUGAAUCUGCUUAUUUUGAGUCCAAGUGCUUAGUCCUAACCUACCCCUGUCUAUAGGUUUUCUUAGAAUUAUUGAAGUGGUUUGGAGGAGCAACCUAAGGUAUUGCCCUAUGUUGUAAAAGUUUAAAGUAAUAUCGUUACGAAUUGUUAGUAGGAAUCGUAAGUUCGUGCAUGCAUCAUAAUGUAUUAACUGGUUAAGUUCCUUCCUCCUUGUUUGGGUUGGGUGAAUAGAAUCAAUCCUAUUCUUGCUAACCUUUAAGGUCUCUCUUACUCAUCUAAACUUACCCUCUACAGGAUGGCUCGUCAGAAGCAGACCCCGCGUAAGCGGACGGGUCCAAAAGGAGUUCCCCGACAUCAGCUAGCUCCACGCAGUGAUCAAGCCAGUAGUAGCCGUACACCGCCUCAGCAGGAGGUGGACAGAUUGUCCGCCGAGUUGACUGAGGUGAUGAGAGAGAGAAUGUACAAUGUUAUGGAGAUUGGCAAACUUAAAGCUCAACUGGCCAAAGAAAAACGAGCCACAGAGAACUGUGAAGCUAUGUUGUCCCGGAUGGUGGAGGAGCGGAAUGCAGCCAUUGCCCGAGAGGAAGAAGCUAGGAGCACCCAUAGGCAUGAGCUAACUAGGAUGAACGCAAAGUUGGGCAAGGCAAAGUAUCUUAAGGAUUUGUAUGUGAAGAUGGCGGCCACGGUCACCGCACAACGGGAUGUCGCGUGGCAACGAGAGGACCAGCUCCAGCUGGAGAAACUAGAGCUGGCAUAUCACUUAGAUACAGUCAAUGAUCUGGCUAUGCAAUAUCGUGAUAUUGCAUUUGAUCUGUAUCAUCAACUCCACCCACCUCCCGGCGAAGGAGAAAUGGAUACGGAUGGCGAGUUGGCAGACGAUGGAGAACCCGAUCCCGGCCUCAGUGAUGAAGAGGAGUCCGACCCCGAUGACCACAACCCAGGGGGUAAUCAAGAUGAUGGCAACGACGACCCGGGCUACAGCUCUGGCCACACCGAUUAGUUCGGUGAAACCAAGGGCAACGUCGUUGUAGGGGUCUUAGCUUGCCGUAGUGGGGUUCGGGUUUGUAAUAUAAGUUUUCUUUCGGUUUGAGAAGUUGAACUUGCUUACUCUUGGUGUGUAUCUAACUGAUGUUUAAUAAGUGAAUGGAAGAAUGUAAGAUAUGUGCUGUGUUAUGAAUUCUACGUGGUAACAGGUAUCUACGAUUCUUGUAACAGAUGCCGAUGCGUACUCGCGGAUCCGAUGGAGCUGGGACAUCCCAGGGAGGGGAUGAUAUCCCCAACCCUCCACCUGCUCCACCUUCUUUGGCUGACGCCAUUGCUGUCCUGCUAAGUGCCACAACUGACAAUGCUCGCUUGCUGCGCGAGCUAGCACAGCGUCAACCAUACUCUGCUCCAAACAUCAGAGCACCGCGCAACGGGGAUGGAGAGGCUCGGUAUGUGGAUUUUACCGAGACCAGGCCCCCGGUGUUCACUAAGGCCGAUGAGCCUUUAGAAGCGGAUGACUGGCUCCGAACUAUGGAGCAUAAGUUCAGUUUAAUUCAGUGUUCAGAAACUCAGAAACCCUUAUUUGCAGCCCAGCAGCUUCGGGGAGCUGCAGGUGCCUGGUGGGAGAACUUCUUAGCUAUUCAAGCUCCCGGACACCAAGUUACCUGGACCGAGUUUAGGGACGCGUUCCGCGCCCACUACAUCCCCGAAGGGCUCAUGGCCAUGAAGGCCGAAGAGUUUCUCGCCUUGCAGCAAGGCGACAAAAGUGUUAUGGAAUACGUGGCAAGGUUUAAUCAUCUUUCUCAAUAUGCCACGGAUCAUGUGAACACUGACAGAAAGAGGAAAGCCUGUUUCAUGCGUGGUCUAAAUACUAAACUUCAGACCAUGAUGACCACUUGCCAAAAUGCUACUUUCUAUGAGGCAGUAAAUAUUGCUAUCGCCUCAGAGGAAAAGAAUAGGAAACAUAAGGAAGCCAAGAAGAAGGCUGCUUCCUCUUCUUUCUCUGGUCGCGGUCAAAAGCGCCAGAGGAUCAUUUAUCAUCCACAGGGCCACGGACGUUUCCAAACGCCGUUACCUUAUCGUGGUCCUUUCUCCCCUCCACAGUACAGACCCGGGCAGCAGGUAUAUUCUCGACCUACUGCCAUCGCUUUUGCACCACGCCAGCCGAACGCCCCGGGUGUUCGCCCUACUGCUCCGCCCAGCCACAAUUACCCUUGCUUCAAUUGUGGUAAACCUGAGCAUUUCUCUAAAGAGUGCCCUUUUCCCCGUCAAACCAACCCUACCUUUCCAAGGCCACCUAUGGGCCAACCCCAGACGGGUCAGUUCAGAACUGGGGUUCAAAAAGGGCAACAGGUACAGAAAGGUAGACCGGUAAAGAAGACAGGGCAAGUCUUCCAUACUGAAGUGGAGACAAUUCCAGAGGGUGAACCAGUGAUGAUGGGUACGUUUCCUGUUGCGAAGCAACCUACUUUAAUGCUCUUUGAUUCUGGUGCAUCCCAUACAUUUAUCAAUCGCACCUUUGUGUUAAAGCAUGGCAUACCCAUUGGGGAAACACAAGAUCAUUUUUAUAUACAGUCGCCAGGAGGACGGCUGAUGUCUAAAGAAAUGGUUCACCAAGUACCCAUCGAAUUUGGUGGGCACAAUUUUCCUACUAGCAUGAUUGUUCUUAAGGACCAAGAAAUUGAUGUUAUCUUAGGCAUGAACUGGAUGGCGCAACGAGGGGUUGUGCUAGACACUUUGCACCGAACCAUUAAAAUCCCAUUGCCCAAUGAGAGUUCUUAUUUGCUAAUCCAAUUAGUUACUCCCAAACGGACAAUUGGGCAAGUUCAUGCCGCUAAUGUGUCUGAAGUUAAAGAUAUCCCGGUAGUUCGCGAUUUCCCGGAUGUAUUUCCUGAAGACUUACCAGGUCUGCCUCCGGACCGGGAUGUACAAUUCAGUAUAGAAUUGAAACCGGGAACGGCCCCAAUAUCUCGAAGGGCCUACAGAAUGGCACCGAAAGAGCUGGCCGAAUUAAAAACCCAAUUACAAGAAUUGUUGCAGAAGGGUUUUAUUCAGCCCAGUUCUUCUCCAUGGGGUUGCCCAGCCUUGUUUGUGAAGAAGAAAGAUCAGACAUUAAGGCUGUGUGUCGACUAUCGUCCUCUAAAUGAGGUAACGAUUAAAAACAAGUACCCAUUGCCCCGCAUUGACUUAUUGUUUGACCAGUUAGCUGGGGCCAAAGUGUUCUCAAAAAUUGAUUUGAGAUCAGGGUACCAUCAAAUCAAAAUUAGGCCGGAAGAUGUGCCCAAGACUGCUUUCACAACCCGUUACGGGCUGUAUGAAUACUUGGUGAUGUCUUUUGGGUUGACCAAUGCACCGGCCCAUUUUAUGUACUUGAUGAACUCUGUCUUUAUGCCAGAACUAGACAAAUUUGUGGUCGUCUUCAUCGAUGACAUCUUGAUUUACUCCAAAACUAAGAAGGAGCAUGCUGAACACUUGAGAAUCGUGCUGACCCGUCUCAGGGAGCAUCAGCUAUAUGCCAAGUUCAGCAAAUGUGAGUUCUGGCUGGACAAAGUUCAUUUCCUGGGUCAUGUAUUAUCAGCGGAAGGAGUCGCUGUAGACCCAGGCAAGGUAGAAGAUGUGUUGAAUUGGAAACCCCCGACUACGGUACAUGAGGUCCGUAGUUUUCUGGGCAUGGCGGGAUAUUACCGUCGUUUUAUCCCGGACUUUUCCAGAGUCGCCAAACCAAUCACAACCUUGCUCAAAAGUCAAACAAAAUUUGUUUGGUCACCCCAAUGUGAGCAAGCUUUUCAGGCUCUGAAAAGGUUGUUGACAACUGCACCUGUCUUAGCCCAGCCAGAUAUUGAAAAACCCUUUGAUGUAUAUUGUGACGCAUCAGGAAUCGGGUUAGGCUGUGUGCUGAUGCAGGAGGGUCGCGUAAUUGCAUAUGCUUCCAGGCAACUCAAACCUCAUGAAGAGAAUUACCCGACCUAUGAUCUCGAACUAGCCGCCGUAGUACAUGCAUUGAAGAUCUGGCGUCAUUAUUUGUUGGGAAACACAUGUCAUCUAUAUACAGAUCACAAAAGCUUGAAGUAUAUCUUUACUCAAGCUGAGCUUAAUAUGCGCCAGCGAAGGUGGCUAGAACUAAUCAAAGAUUACGACCUUGAGGUGCAUUAUCACCCUGGCAAGGCAAAUGUAGUAGCGGAUGCUCUCAGUCGUAAGGCUCACUGUAAUUGCUUAACAGUGAAGCCUAGGGAUAUAACUUUGUGCCAAGAGCUAGAGAACUUGGGAAUAGAAAUGAUUUCCCAAGGAAGCCUUUCCAAUUUAAAGAUUGAUUUCAAUCUCGAGGCUCAAAUCAUAAAGGCACAAAAAGAAAACAAAGGCAUGAGACAUCUUAAAGAGAAGAUUUCUAAUAGAGCACUCACAGACUUUAAGGUGGAUGAGGCGGGAGUAAUCUGGUUCAAGAACCGGUUAGUGGUCCCAAAGGUAUCUGAGCUACGUCAGCAAAUCCUGGAUGAAGCUCAUACCACGAGGUAUUCUAUUCAUCCGGGAAGCAAUAAAAUGUAUCAGGACCUGAAGCAAAGGUUUUGGUGGACAAAAAUGAAGAUAGAAAUAGCUCGCUAUGUGGCCCAGUGUGACACCUGUCGAAAGGUCAAAGCCAUUCAUCUCAAAUCCGCUGGGGAGUUGCAACCUUUGCCUAUCCCCGCAUGGAAAUGGGAUGACAUAAGUAUGGAUUUCAUAGUAGGAUUGCCCAAGACGGCCAAGGGCUUUGAUUCCAUUUGGGUCAUAGUAGAUCGUCUCACCAAAACAGCACAUUUUCUGCCGGUGAAGCUAUUGUAUCCUGCCUCCACCUAUGCUAAGAUUUAUUUUGACCGUAUUCUAAGUCUGCAUGGAGUGCCAAAGACAAUAGUGUCAGAUAGAGGCACCCAAUUUGUCUCCCAAUUCUGGAAAUGUUUACAUGAGUCCUUGGGCACUAAGCUUUUAUACAGCACAGCCUACCACCCUCAAACCGGUGGGCAAACUGAAAGGGUGAAUCAAACCCUAGAAGAUCUAUUGAGAUCUUGUGCCCUGAAUUUUCCAAAUAAAUGGGAUGACUGCUUGCCUCUAGCAGAAUUUUCCUACAAUAAUAGCUAUCAGGAGAGUAUCAAAAUGGCUCCCUUUGAGGCACUGUACGGUCGCCGAUGUCGAACUCCGUUACACUGGUCAGAACCUGGAGAAAGAUGGUUCUUCGGAGUUGACUUAGUGAAAGAGACUGAGAACAAAGUGAAACAAAUCCAAAAUAAUUUGAAAGUUGCUCAGUCCCGACAGAAAAGUUACGCUGAUAAAAGACGUCGACCAUUAAGGUUCACCAAAGGUGAUCAUGUGUAUUUGAAAGUAUCCCCAAUGAAAGGAGUAAAUCGUUUUGGUGUUAAAGGCAAGUUAGCGCCUCGUUACAUUGGUCCAUUUCCAAUUAUUGACCGAUGUGGGCAGGUCGCUUACCGCCUUAAACUGCCCGAACGAUUAUCCGGGGUACAUAAUGUGUUCCAUGUGUCUCAACUGAAAAGGUGUCUUCGGGUACCAGAUCGAGUUCAAGAUAUUGAAGAUGUAAAGCUUGAACCAGAUCUAACUUAUUCGGAAUAUCCUAUCCGAGUACUGGAUCAAAAAGCUAGAGUUACUCGAAGGACAACCACCAAAUGGUAUAAAGUACAAUGGAGCCAGCACUCUGAAGAAGAAGCCACAUGGGAAUCUGAAGAUUACUUGUUAGAGAAUUUUCCUGAAUUCUAUGCUUCUCUUCAGGACAAUAUAUGAUAACCAGAGAAUGUACUCUAGUGAAGAAAAAGAGUUACCAAAGCCAUGUACUUAAUGUACCUAUAUGCAUAUAGUGAAGUAUUUUCCCCAACUCCUUGCCUUAUGGAAAAGUUGAAGAUGAAAGAGUUUUGACAAAUUUCCUUUUCCAUUACUUACCCUAAGGUUUUAAAUCUCGGGGACGAGAUUUCUUUAAGGGGGAAGGGCUGUAACAUCCCUGAUGUUACGGUUAAUAAAAACGGAUCAUGUCAUCAUAAGCAUUGCAAAGCAUAAUUGUUAAAGCACAGUAGUAUGCAUCAACUUAAAAUAAGUUUACUUUGAUUGCUUGAGCUUAGGGAAGUAGAGUGUGCUUUUGUGGUGUGUUGUUGCUUGUGUGGUUGCUAAAACCCUAGGGUGGAAGUUUUCCGAAGAGCUAGGGGGGGGAAAACCCUGAUUUCUGGAUCCUAGAUUUGCCCCUUUUUGUAUAAUUCAAAAACUAAGCAAAAUUUGAGGUUGAGUUCAAAAGCAAAGUUGUAGAUCUUGGCAAGAUGUACAACUUUGGUGUUUUGAGUCUUUGAAGUUUCAAUACAAAAUUCAAAGUAAUUUUGAAAAUACAGAUUUCCAGAAAGUGUCCCCUUUUCCAACUUAAAUUCCCAAUUCAAAAUCCAUUUGGAAUUUUGAAAAGUGGUCAACAUGAAAGUUGUAGAGCACAAAAAGUUGAGCAACUUUCAUGUUGGGAGUUUUUCAAGUUGUUAUACAAAAUCAAAAGUAAUUUUGGAAAUUCUGUUUUGCCCCAAUUCAAAAAUUUGGAAUUUCUUUGAUUUGAGUUUGAUUUUCAAACUGUUUGGCCAAAUUCACCCUGUUAUACUCAAAAUCAGCUCUGGUCACCAAAACAUGUUUUGUAGCUUAUAAAAUUUGGAACAACUUUUGUUUCGGUGAAAUUUCGGCUCCAGUUCAAAUUUUGGCUGAAUUUUGCAAAACAACAGAGCAAGUGGAUAUGGACUGCUACAGUGCUGAGCAGGGGGGGGUGCUCUGCCGCCGGAGCAGAGCCGCUACGUCCGGCACCGCCACGCGCCUGGCCACGCAGCUGCUUGGCUGCGCGCGCCCGCCGUGAUGUGGACGAGCCCCAGCGUGCUCAUCCACUCCCCUGCUGCUUCCACUGCACGGCCGCCUCGCUUCUCCCUUUUACGCCCGACACCGACGACCCGGCCGCGCCUUCAAUUUCACCGCACUCAAUCCCUUUCGAGCCAAAUUGAGCACUCCACAACGUUCGCCACGCCCUUGCGAACUCAGCACACCCCUAUCUCUUUCUCUAACCCACCCAGUCGCCAGAACUUCUCUGUUCUUCCCCAACAUCGGCCGAGACCGCCGCCGUGAGCUCUCUCCGUGGCCACGCUAUUCCAGUGAGCAAAAUACCGAACUAGUGGAUGUUUCCGGUUCCACUUUAUCCCCAGAAGCUCAUGCGCUUCCUCUUUUUCCCAAGACGCGAACAGGAUCGCCGGAACAACUUCGCCGGAGCCGGAGCACCCGCCUGACCGCACGGCCACCGUCGCCAAGCUUUUCUACUGCUUCUCCCGUCGUGGUGAUGUGAGCACCAUGUCCCUUACCCUCCAUGGAAGCUCCCUUGCAUGUUAAUUUACACUCUACCAAGCCCUAAGGGCCGGUCCGCGGUCGGCUAUGGCGGCCGCCCGCCUUUCGCGUAGCCGAAGUGGGAGGGAGAGAGUAGAGCGUGAGUGGAGGGUGACAACAGGGUCGCGAAGACGAGGCGAGGCCGAUGCGCAUGCGUGCGGGAGCCAAGGACCUCGCUAACGGCGGCCGGAGCCGUGGCCGAGCCGCCGUGCGCGGUAGAGACGAAGCUGACGGGUGGGGCAUCCCCGUCAGCGUCCCGCGAAGAGGGGAGAGGGGGGGUCUGACGAGCGGGACCCGCCCGUCAGUGACCCGCAGAGAGAGGAGGGAGCAGCCCACAUGGCGCGCGCGUGGGCCGAACGGGAAUGGGCCGGCCUGCAGGCCGAUUUCCCGGCCACUUGCUGCACAGUACUGUUUUUCUUUUUCUUUUUGUGCAGUUUUUGAGUUAUGUUUGAAUUUAUGUAAUAAUUCGUGUGCUAAUCCAAAAAUCGUGGAAAUUUUUGUGUAGGCUCUCUGAAGUAAGUAGAACCCAAGAAAAAUAUUAAGUUCUGUUUUCUGGUAGUUUACAUGUCUGUAAAAAUCUGCCCUUUUAAUUAGCAAAUAAAACUUGUAUGAAUUUUAAUAAUUUAUUUGUAUGUCCAAAAAUCACCAAAAAUUGUGGGGAGCCUCUGAAUAUUAUUCCCUGGCUCCACCUAAAAUUUGGUGGCAUUUGGAUAAGGUUUGGUUAAAAUGUUAAUAAACCCUUAUUUAGUAUUUAAUUAAUCAUUCCAAAAUAAGUAAAUAGUGAUUAACUAAAAUCCUCAUAUUUAGGGUUGAGUGAUUUUGGGAUUGUGUGAUGACCUGAGGUCAUUAACUCUAAUGACCUCUGGCAGUUAAUUAUUGUUUAGCCUUAAUGCUUAAUUACUGUCAUUAGUAAUUAAUUAAGAAUUAAUUAAGGUAAAUAGGUUUAAUAAUUACUUAAUUUAAGAUAAUUAUGAAUUAAGUAAAUUCUUAGUUUACAGAUGCAACCUCUUGGGUAAAAAUAUUAAAUUAUUAAACAACUUUAUUUAUUGAUUUUCUGUAUUGCAUUGGGAAGACAAAUUGUACUUAAUUCGGUCCAUCUUGCAUAAUUGCCAUACGCAUAAGCAUUCAUCAUUUUGCGUAUAGUGUCCGUGACCGAAGGAGCGCCCGUUGAACCGAACCCCGAGGUCGGUGCUCCGUUCGAGGAAGUCGGAUCCGAGACUUGGGAAGUCUCCGAGGGUCCCUCUCUGCCCUGCAACCAAGGCAAGCCCCGGAUGCAUUAACCCCUCCUUGGAUGUUUUAAAUCUUUUAUCACUUAUGAAUUGAAAAUGCUGCAUUAGGUAGUUGAGAAUUGGGUUAACCUACUUGCUGCAUUUACUACCUUGAUAUCUGUAUCCUGUCCUUAACACCUGUUUUAUUUUAACACUGCGUAGCGAUGCUUAGCCCUGCUACUAGAUAGGUUUUCAACAAGAAAGUUUGAAGGGUUGUUGUGGGAUACACUUAUGAUCAAUGAUGUUUCAAUUUGAGACCGGUCGGUGGACUUGCUUUAAGAAUGGAGUCUUAAAGUAGUGUCUCCAACUGUGUCGGUUAAGGACCGGUCCGUUGAUGGCCUGCUGGGUUGAGAAUUUGUAGUACUAGCCACUUGCCCUCGGUAAGCCCGGUCUUGUGAUCCCUCGACGCGAACAGCUACUCGCGCACUGGGAGUGGAAAGAUGGCGAGAGUAGUGUGUACCCACCUUACGGAUCUGAGAUGACCGGAAAACAUCUAGAUCGGCUGUAGGAUGGUGGAGUACUGUGCUCUCGGGUGCCGCGAACCUGGUCAAAUUUGGGGAGAGCUUGAUUUGGGUUGAUAUAUGCAAGAUUUGGUUCUACAUAUGUCGGGUGGUUAGGAACUCCAGUUGGAUUGUUAAGCGAUUCGAAUCGUCGUUGCUCCCCGAUUGGGAGACUCAAUUCCUUCGACCCUCAUCGUAGUUAAAUAUGCAACUAAGUGAUAAAAUGAGAAAGGGGAAAAUGUCUCAUGAGGUUCGGAUCCCAAUUCCCGGACUCAUAGCGACAUGAAGCUAUGGCCAUCAAUAAAUAAUACUUAAUGAUAGGACUAGGAACUCACGGAUUCGUCUGUGGGGAACAACUAGUUAGACUAUCCUCGAAUUCUUCUGCCUCCGCGAGGGAGGAAUUCAGGGUAAAACUUGAAAAUAAGGAUGCACUACUAGUAAGCUUUUCCGCAAAACACUUUGGCUCCUUGCUCAGCCACCCCUUGUCUACCUUAAGCCUGCAUCCCUAAAUUCUCCUCUUUUCCCGUCGGAUAAGUCUUGUUGAGUACUCCCGUACUCAGGGUUUCAAUACCCCUGUUGCAGGUGAAGCUCAGGAGCCGACUUGUUUCGGACCCUGUUGUGUGACCGUCGUUGAGGCUGACGACGAAGAGGAGUGAGCGUGACCCAUGGGCAGGGUCUGUAAAUUUGUUCUGUCUGUACUAAAGCUUCAGUUGCUCCGCUGGACCAGGCUUGUAAUAACACUCUACUAUUUGGAAGAACUUCUUUUAUAAAUUAAGUUAUGUAAUACUUCCGCUGUUUCACUCUGAAAUAUUAUUUUGGUCUUGUGUUGUUGAGUUACUGCUUUAUCUUCGCAACGAAUGAUCCUGGUGUUAAGGUGGCCACUUGCUAUCCUGUAAGGGCGAGAAGAAACAGUUCUCGUGGUUUGACCAUUAUCAGUGGUCAGGUCGAGCCAGCUUGGUACGCCACAGGUAGCAGUGGAAUGAGCACACAGUAAGGCUCAUCGGACUUCUAAAGUGGGAGGACUCCCGGCACCACCGUCAGAGGUCCUUGGGACAAUGGCAGGUGUCGGUGGGCCCAAACACUUAAGGGGUUCUGCCACACAUACCUUGUGCUUGUCAUUCAUCCGAUCUUCUUGCUCCAAUCCUAGAAAGGUUAGUGACAAGAAUACCCGAAGGAAUAUUUUAUAAUUAUCCUUAUAUGCUCAAUACACAAGGUAAUGUUGUAAAUAAUUAAAAGCUCAUGUUACGAUCUGAUCAGUGCUUAUUUUAGGACACAAAGCUUGUCCUUGGGAAACCAUCAAUUUAUGUCGGCGAAGUGGUUUCCCUUCCAACGCUGACCUAUAUCAAGAUCAACUCAACGAGAUCUACAAUAUUUAUUAUAGACAUAUGCAUCAACAACUGCCCUUUUAAAGUUUUUAUAAAUAGAAAGGAAGAGGGGGUUGGAGAUCUCAAAUGUGGUGAUGUUGGAGAGACCAAUAGAUUGGGAAGAUGUUGCAUAUGAGCAUGGAGUAAAUGAAGUGGCUAUGAAAUAAAUUUCAUGCUCAUUAAUGUUAUCUUUGUCUCCAAUCUGAAUGUUCGGAGUUUCUCCUCGAUUGGUCUCACUUAUGUCCCCUGCUAUAGUUGGAUGAAUCCCAUUUUCAAAGGGAGUCAAGAACUCACCAUUUGAAAUUGAGCCAAAGUCAGAAUCCAUUAAGGCUUCUUACUUAUCCAUCCAUUCUACACAUUCUAGCCAUUUAGAACUUGUGAUCAGGAAAGGGGAGGUGUUACAAUUUUCUAUAUGGCUUAGCUCUCCUUCACUUGAUAUGUCAUCCUCGACUUCUUCAUAACCUGAACCAGGACAUUCUCUAAGAGAACCAUUAUUGCAAGGACUUGAAUUAUCUCUGCUUGAAGGUUUCUUAUGGAACUAAAAGUCUAAACCAUUAGUAUCUGAAAGAUUUAAGUUCAGAAUUCCUCCCUCCCUUGAAGAAUUUUGGGGUAUUGAUGGUUUAGGAUCGAUAGCUAAAGUUUGGGAUUGAAGUGGUUGUGAUCUGGCUAUCGAAACUUCUUCUUCUUGUCUAGGAACUGGUUCUUUCUCUUUCUCAGGGAUAUAAAAGCUAGGAGACUUUCCGCUCAUUAAAUCAAUCAAAUUCCAAGCUUCACUAGCGGAUAGGUGGUGGAAAGAUCCUCCGGAGGCUGUAUUCAAUGUUUUCUUAUUUUCCAUACUAAGGCCCUCAAAAAAGUGAAUUAGAAGAACUUCUUGUGGAAUAGAAAGCAUUGGGCCAGUGAGAGUAAGGUUAAUAAAGCGGUCCCAUGAUUUGCCAAGAGAUUCUUCUUCCAGUUGUCUAAAAGAAAUAAUCUCACGCUGAAGUUCCACCACUUUAGAGAUUGGAAAAUAUUUUAACAGAAAACUAUUAUGUAACUCCUUCCAAUCUCCAUGAACACUCCCUACUUUGAGUUUAUACCAAUGUCUAGCUUUUCCUAUUAAAGAGAACAGAAAGAGCUUCCAUUGAAGGGUCUCAUCGGACAUGCCUUCUAUGCGAAGGAGGUCACAGACUCGAUAAAACUCUCUUAGGUGGGUGUAUGGGUUUUCCUCACUUUCUCCUGAGAAAGGUUGUUUUUGAACAAAUUCUAUGUAUUCGGGGUCUAUCUCAAAACUAGAUGCUAUGAUAGGCUUUGAAGAUUUUGGUGGUUCGAGAUGUGUGCCCACAGGUCUAUGAAAUUCAUAGAUAGACAUGUUUCAAUUCAUGAUAGACCAGAGAUCAAGGAUUAGAUAAGAAGAAAGAUUAGCAGAGAUGAGGCAAAGGAUAAAAGGAAAAUAUUUUUUUAUUUUUUAGAAAAUGAUUAAGCUAAUUCGUAGUCAACUCAGCAACCGUUUCCCCGGCAACGGCGCCAAAAAUGCUUGUUGACACUUGCUAACACCACUUGAAUACUAGGUUGUCAUCCCCAACAUGGCACUAGAGUGUACUAUGGUAUUUAUACGCACAGAGAUAAAUUCGCAAGCGCACGGAUACCGUUGUAGCUUUUACCCGGUUAAAGGUUUUAUCGUAUCCACAGGGAAACGGGAGAACCAACUACCCUAAACCCUAAACCAAGAUAGAUAGAUAAGUGUAAAUAGGAAAGAUGAUAGAAUUGAAUAAGAACAAUAUUAAAGGUAAGAUAAUAAUGGGUGAUAAUAUGGGAAUAGAGAGUAGGGCAAUCUAGUAUAUGGGCGAUGGUAGCAGAAUAGAGACAAUAACUAUGGUUUCUCUACUUCAAAGGGGUAUGUCUAUGUCUGGGACGAACCACGUGAUAAGAAUACACCACAAAGGAUGCUUAUCCAUAGGCCGAUAAACCCUACCCGUCCUGCUAACAGGAGGUGGACUACAGGGGACCAACGUAACUGUCACCUACACGACCUACCACACGAUCCAGCUAGACAGGGGAUAUCCACAAGUAAUCUAGGUCUAAGCACCACGCUUACACCUAUACUACAACUCUAACCUAUAGGGUCCUAUAGAUUAGAAGUACUCAAAAGAGUUGUGAACCAGAACAUACAUGAUUAGUAAUUGCAUAAUGAAUUAGAAGUAGAUUACUAGAGUCAUCCUAUGAGCAAGCUUGAUUAGAGCUUGAUCAUGGCGAAGUACAACCGGAGGAACAACCGACACGCCGGCCUCUCCUCCAAUCCUCCCUCGCUCUCCAUCUUGCUACUAUCUAAAUCUACUCUAGUUUAGAGAUGAGAGGAGAGCUCUCAUCUCCAAACCCUAGCUUUUGCUCUGUCUAUGAAUAAUGAAUAGGGAUCAAGGGGUGCCUCCUCCAGGGGCCAGGGGGUCUGCUUAUAUAGUCCCCUCAAGUGAAUCUAGGCCGUCGGAUCAAACCGACAUUGAUUGAACGGUUAUUCUUGAUCCAUUAGGUCGGUGGAGCAUAAUCCCCGAAGCAAGUCCUGAUUGGACUCUAGGACAGGGCGGGCGCCCAAGGGGGGAGGGCGGGCGCCCUGCCCUCGAGCCCGCUCGGCCUCCCGUUCGUUCCCAUGGCUUCUGGAGUAUUCUAGAUGAUAGAAAAUUGCACGGCACGUUCAUAUCUCUAUGUAAACCCGACAUGUGGGCCUUUCUUCCAUAAUUCCUGAUAACCCCCUACAGAAAUAGACAAACACCAAAACUCAUGGAAAUCUGUUAGAUAAAACCCUAAGUCUGGGUGUUGGUUGCAUUUGGAUCCUUUUCUUUGUUUAUUUGCUGAUUAUAUUUGGUACUUAAGGACCGUCAACAAUUUUUACCACUGGGAGAAAGUGUGCAUCUGAUUAACCAAAUCUAUUGCUACUACCCUUUAGGCUACAAAGAAUGUUUCUCAAUGUGAGCGAUGUAUAGAGAAGACUACAACCGUAGUCUCGUUCUAACCUUGGUAAGGAUGAUCUACUGUUCUAUUGGGGAAGCUUACGGAAUCUAGACACCACAGAGGAUGUUUGAUGCGCACCUAUAAAUCUACCCGUCCUGCUAACGAGAUGUGGGAUGCAAAGGUAACUCAGAAAUGUCACGUUCCUCGCUACUACCACGGUCCAGCUAGUCAGGGGAUAUCUAUGAGUACCCUAGCCCAAACACCAUGUUUACGCUAGCAAUGAUUACUCUAAACUCAACCAGAAGAGAUUAAAGUAAACUCAUAAACCAAAGAACAAUAAAACAAGAACUUACUAGAAUUAGAAGUCGAAUUACUAAAGAAUCCUAGGAGCAAGCCUCGGGUUAGGAGAACUUGAUCCCGCAGGUACAACCUUAGAGUAGACACCGACAGGCCGGGCUUCCUCCGAUCUACACCUCCACUCUAUCUCCCUCAAUAUAGUAGAAACUAGAAGAUCUAAUUCUACUCACAUUGGAUGCUAAGCCCUAAGUCUAUUUAGAGGAGAGGUUAUCCUUCGAGGGCUCCUCUCAACACUAUGAUGAACUUGUUCCCCUCCAGGGGCCAGGGGGUCUGCUUAUAUAGUCUCUUCAAGUGAAUCUGGGCCGUCGGAUCAAACCGACAUUGAUUGAACGGUUAUCCUUGAUUCUUUAGGUCGGUGGAGCGUAAUCCCCGAAGAGAGUCCAGAUUGGACUCUGGGACAGGGUGGGCGCCCAAGGGGGGAGGGCGGGCACCCUGCCCCCAGGCCCGUUCGCCUUCCGUUCGUUCCUGUGGCUUCUGGAGUCUUCUAGAUGAUAGAAAAUUGCGUGGCACGUUAAUAUCUCUAUGUAAACCCGACGUGUGGGCCUUUCUUCCGUAUUUCCUGAUAACCCCCUACAUAAAUAGACAAACACCAAAACUUGUGGAAUUCUGUCAGUUAAAACCCUAAGUCUGGGUGUUGGUUGCAUUUGGAUCCUUUUCUUUAUUUAUUUGAUGAUUAUAUUUGGUACUUAAGGACCGUCAACAACUCCCCCAAGCUUACCUCUUGCUCGUCCCUGAGCAAGGAUGAACUCAAGAGAUUCUACAGUGGUUUCAUGCCUUAAAAGUAAGAUCUCAUCUCUGAGUUAGAGUAAACUGUUAAGACUUAAAACUUACUCAUUUUACCUUUCACCAUGGGGCUUGUAACCGUCACUUGUGUCUUGAGCAGUCAAAAGAUGGAACAGUCUAGUCAAGUGGCAUGCCUCUUAUUCUUGAUCAGCUAUGGCUCUAGAGUUUUUGCAGAUUUUCAAAUAAAACUUAGAGAUUCCUUAUAUGAUUCUCUCAAGUCUCUCUUUUCUGGUAUUUGUGGAUCCUUUCCAAGGCAGUAAUAGUAUAUGCCUUCUCUCAAAGUAUGUGGUAUUUUUGGUAUGAGGUAUAGUAAUAUUGCCUUCUCUCUCAUCCUACUCUAAUAAGGUUUUGAUAUCUGGAGCUCAUAGGUGGCAGAUAGAUAAUACAUACUUACAAGACAUUUAUUGCAUAGUCAAACCAUGGAUCCAGAAUAACAAGUCAAUAAGUCAAAUCAAGAUAUGCAUGUGUGGCGAGUGAAUGGUGUAUGGUGAUGAUGGUGAUAACAAUGGUGAAAGUCUAAUUCUACUUUUGCUCUUUUAAGCGAAUACAUACCUUUCUUGCACUUUGAAGCUUUUUGAGGAGAAUGAGAUGCUCUAUAUUUUCUUUUUCUUUCCUCUCAGGUGGGUAUCUUGUAUCCCUAAUUCUACUGUCGGACAUUUGUCCAUUUUUAUCUCUCGUCUCACUUUUUCUUUUCUUCGAGGUUCCAGGCACUUGCCACUUUUUAUUUCCUCGUAUUCUUUUUCUCUUUCUUUCUCUUUUUUUUCUUUUUUACAGCACUCAUCUCCUGAAAUAAUAUAGCAAGUGGUAGUAACCAAGAUAACUCGAGCAUUUAUUUCAAAGGGAAAAAUAGAAAUAGGAGAAUGUUUUUGGCUAUUCUCUCCCGGAUUAGGAGUAGCAUACUUUUAGGUGGCUCUGGAGAUAGAAAUGAGUGGAUAUAGUGGAUGUGUACUUCCGGAGUAGAAGCAGCAUGUGUGAGUGAAUGUGCAAGUGAAUCUUGAUUUUAACCACAUGACAAGCUCCUAAGAGUCUACACAGCUUGACCACACUCAAUGCUCAUAAGCUGUAAAAAAGUAAAUGUAUGGCUCAAAGUCUAGCAAGCAUAUAUAUAUAUGGCUGUGGUAGAAAUUUAAACUCUCAUCAUACAGGAACUCAUCAUGUGUUAUUUUAAAGGUUUUCAAAGAUAAAAUUCUCCAGAAUUCUAGCAUCUCUAGGAACAGAUAAACAGCAGCUCAACCUUCCCAUAUCAUAUUCGUUAGUGACUUAGACUUUAGAUCAAGUACUCUUCCCACAAGUUUAGGUUUAGAGCAGGUUUAAAUUAUAACAGUUUUGCCUAAACUUGAGAGAGAUUUCAAUUUUAAGAACUAGUCAUGGCAGAGCAACUAUUCAUCAUUUCCAUGUGAGAGCUUAUCAUUAGGGUUCAUAGCAAACUUUAUUUAUUUAUUUAUUUAGCAAAAUAAGCAAAGAUAUAUAUAUAUAUAUAAGCACUUAGCUGGAUAAAUAGGGGUGCUAUUCCCCAAGCUGGAUUUUGACGUAAUUUCUUCUAAUGUAGCUAGCAGGUGGCAGAGGUGUAUUUGAAUGUCGGCAGCACCCAGACAGCGAUUAGGAUGUCCUCUGUCUGCUAGUCUUCUUUGAUCCUUCAAUUCUGUGGAGCUCAAAUAGACAACAAAGCUUUGUGGAACUGGUUAAGUGUUAGCAUAAAAUCUCUUUGCCUUUAUCAUGUUGAGCUUCCUUUAAUAAAUAUUACUCUCUUUGGUAGGACCAUAAAUUUACUUUUAUAUUCUUAUUUUUAUAGGACAGGAAUAUAUUCAUUUUAUUUUUAUGCCACCACAGUGAAUGUACUUUUGGGUUUUAUGCCAUGAGCAUACUCACAUGGGGCUUACUAUUUUUAACAUUUUUAUUUUCUUUUUAAGAUAGCAUGAACCUGAUCGACUAAGCAAAAUAUUUUGAAUAAUUGAAAGGAAAAGGAUAACUACCAAGUUUACCUCUUGGCAAGGCGUUUGGUGUUUUUUAAGUCCUCCGAACGGGACUCUUUGUUUUCUCAGUCAUCCUAGGAUUCGCUGGAUGGCGUAGUCGGUGGUUCCGGCGGCGCCUCUUCUUCGUGUAUAGCUAUCUUCUCUUUCUGAUUCGGUGCUACGGUCUCCUCAGGAUAGUUCUGUUCAAGCUGUAUGUCUUCAGACCUUACCACUUCUCCUUCGUAGUCUACCCAUCCGUCCUUGAUGAUUUGCCUUCUCUGGUUUUGGUUGCGUCGCCUUCUUCAGAGGGAAGUGCAUGUGGACUUCUCCGGUUCCAAUAUAGAUGAUGGCUUUGAUAGUAUUGAGGAACGGUCUUCCAAGGAUGGUGGGUGGAUCAUACUCGUCUUCUCCCAUGUCAAUGACCUGAAAAUCAUCUGGGGCUUGAUAUAUAUUGGUUGUAGGGGCAUGGUUCCAUGCAGGAGCUGAUAAGUGACUGCGGCCAUUAUGUUGACGUCAGAUCCGGUGUCUUAGAGUGUCUUCUAAAAAGAGUAUCCGUUGAUUGUGCACUCGAUGCUUGGAACACCAGGGUCAUCCGUGUUCAUCCUUUAGGUGCAUCAUUUGAUUAGGUGUGGGCCUUGACAUCUGUACUUCUACGGUGUCACCCAUGUUCUCCGUUUGCCCCGUAGUUCGAAGUGUGGUGUUGGCAAUAUCCUGCUCAAUGUGUUUGUGCUCGUAGAUCUAGGUCCUUCACUUGGUGGAGUCUGGGAGUUGUAAAAGUCCUCCAUGUUUUGCUUGAAGUGUACCUGUUCAUAGAGACAAGGCAGAGAUCAAGUGCAUGGGCCCUGUUGGUGGAGAACACCAACAGAACCAAAAGUGUAUUUGUUCUUCUCUAACCUUAAGCAUAGUGAGCAAGACAAAGUUGAUGGAUCAUGAGUGU
rnacentral:lncRNA from 1 species